rnacentral:rRNA from 1 species
UAAGCGGAGGAAACCAACAGGGAUUGCCCUAGUAACGGCGAGUGAAGCGGCAACAGCUCAAAUUUGAAACCUGGCGCUUGCGUCCGGAUUGUAAUUUGCAGAGGAUGCUUCUGGGCAGCGGCCGGUCUAAGUUCCUUGGAAAAGGACGUCAUAGAGGGUGAGAACCCCGUAUGCGACCGGCGCGCACCCUCCACGUAGCUCCUUCGACGAGUCGAGUUGUUUGGGAAUGCAGCUCUAAAUGGGAGGUAAAUUUCUUCUAAAGCUAAAUAUUGGCCCGAGACCGAUAGCGCACAAGUAGAGUGAUCGAAAGAUGAAAAGCACUUUGGAAAGAGAGUUAAAAAGCACGUGAAAUUGUUGAAAGGGAAGCGCUUCCCACCAGACUCCGCGGCGGUGUUCCGCCGGUCUUCUGACCGGUCUACUCGCCGCCGUGGGGCCAGCAUCGUCUGGGGCCGCCGGAUAAGACCGCAGGAAUGUAGCUCAUUGAGUGUUAUAGCCUGCGGGGAUGCGGCGCGCCCCGGGCGAGGUCCGCGCUUCGGCAAGGAUGCUGGCGUAAUGGUGGGCAGCGGCCCGUCUUGAAACACGGACCAAGGAGUCUAACAUCUAUGCGAGUGUUCGGGUGUCAAACCCCUACGCGUAAUGAAAGUGAACGGAGGUGGGAGCUUCGGCGCACCAUCGACCGAUCCUGAUGUCCUCGGAUGGAUUUGAGUAAGAGCAUAGCUGUUGGGACCCGAAAGAUGGUGAACUAUGCCUGAAUAGGGUGAAGCCAGAGGAAACUCUGGUGGAGGCUCGCAGCGGUUCUGACGUGCAAAUCGAUCGUCAAAUUUGGGCAUAGGGGCGAAAGACUAAU